rnacentral:rRNA from 1 species
UUAAGUCUGAUGUGAAAGCCCACGGCUUAACCGUGGAGGGUCAUUGGAAACUGGGGAACUUGAGUACAGAAGAGGAGAGUGGAAUUCCACGUGUAGCGGUGAAAUGCGUAGAUAUGUGGAGGAACACCAGUGGCGAAGGCGACUCUCUGGUCUGUAACUGACGNUGAGGCGCGAAAGCGUGGGGAGCGAACAGGAUUAGAUACCCUGGUAGUCCACGCCGUAAACGAUGAGUGCUAGGUGUUAGGGGGUUUCCGCCCCUUAGUGCUGAAGUUAACGCAUUAAGCACUCCGCCUGGGGAGUACGGCCGCAAGGCUGAAACUCAAAAGAAUUGACGGGGGCCCGCACAAGCGGUGGAGCAUGUGGUUUAAUUCGAAGCAACGCGAAGAACCUUACCAGGUCUUGACAUCCUCUGACCACUCUAGAGAUAGAGCUUUCCCUUCGGGGACAGAGUGACAGGUGGUGCAUGGUUGUCGUCAGCUCGUGUCGUGAGAUGUUGGGUUAAGUCCCGCAACGAGCGCAACCCUUGACCUUAGUUGCCAGCAUUNAGUUGGGCACUCUAAGGUGACNGCCGGUGACAAACCGGAGGAAGGUGGGGAUGACGUCAAAUCAUCAUGCCCCUUAUGACCUGGGCUACACACGUGCUACAAUGGANGGUACAAAGGGAAGCAAAACCGCGAGGUCCAGCAAAUCCCAUAAAACCAUUCUCAGUUCGGAUUGUAGGCUGCAACUCGCCUACAUGAAGCCGGAAUCGCUAGUAAUCGCGGAUCAG